rnacentral:rRNA from 1 species
GAUGAACGCUGGCGGCGCGCCUAACACAUGCAAGUCGAACGAGUAAGACGCCUUCGGGCGUGGAUAGAGUGGCGAACGGGUGAGUAACACGUGACCAACCUGCCCCCUCCUCCGGGACACCCUCGGGCAACCCAGGCUAAUACCGGAUACUCCGGGCACCCCGCAUGGGAUGCCCGGGAAAGCCCCGGCGGGAGGGGAUGGGGUCGCGGCCCAUCAGGUAGACGGCGGGGUAACGGCCCAUCGUGGCCGCAACGGGUAGCCGGGCUGAGAGGCUGAUCGGCCACAUUGGGACUGAGACACGGCCCAGACUCCUACGGGAGGCAGCAGUGGGGAAUUUUGCGCAAUGGGGGCAACCCUGACGCAGCGACGCCGCGUGCGGGACGAAGUCAUUCGUGACGGAAACCGCUUUCAGCGAGGAAGAACCAUGACGGUACUCGCAGAAGAAGCCCCGGCUAACUACGUGCCAGCCGCCGCGGUAA